rnacentral:rRNA from 1 species
AGCGAACGCUGGCGGCAGGCCUAACACAUGCAAGUCGAACGAACCUUUCGGGGUUAGUGGCGGACGGGUGAGUAACACGUGGGAACGUGCCUUUAGGUUCGGAAUAACUCAGGGAAACUUGUGCUAAUACCGAAUGUGCCCUUCGGGGGAAAGAUUAAUCGCCUUUAGAGCGGCCCGCGUCUGAUUAGCUAGUUGGUUGAGGUAAUGGCUCACCAAGGCGACGAUCAGUAGCUGGUCUGAGAGGAUGAUCAGCCACAUUGGGACUGAGACACGGCCCAAACUCCUACGGGAGGCAGCAGUGGGGAAUCUUGCGCAAUGGGCGAAAGCCUGACGCAGCCAUGCCGCGUGAAUGAUGAAGGUCUUAGGUUUGUAAAAUUCUUUCACCGGGGACGAUAAUGACGGUACCCGGAGAAGAAGCCCCGGCUAACUUCGUG